rnacentral:rRNA from 1 species
AUUGAACGCUGGCGGCAUGCUUUACACAUGCAAGUCGAACGGUAACAGGCCGCAAGGUGCUGACGAGUGGCGAACGGGUGAGUAAUGCAUCGGAACGUGCCCAGUCGUGGGGGAUAACGCAGCGAAAGCUGUGCUAAUACCGCAUACGAUCUAUGGAUGAAGGCGGGGGACCGUAAGGCCUCGCGCGAUUGGAGCGGCCGAUGUCAGAUUAGCUAGUUGGUGGGGUAAAGGCCCACCAAGGCGACGAUCUGUAGCUGGUCUGAGAGGACGACCAGCCAAACUGGGACUGGGACACGGCCCAGACUCCUACGGGAGGCAGCAGUGGGGAAUUUUGGACAAUGGGCGAAAGCCUGAUCCAGCAAUGCCGCGUGCAGGAAGAAGGCCUUCGGGUUGUAAACUGCUUUUGUACGGAACGAGACGGUCUGGGUUAAUACCCUGGGCUAAUGACGGUACCGUAAGAAUAAGCACCGGCUAACUACGUGCCAGCAGCCGCCGUAACAC